rnacentral:lncRNA from 1 species
AUCGAGGGCAUUUACAUCUACUUAAUUGUUGUAAAGGUGUACAACAUCGCCGAUAAAAUCUUUCGUUAUCAUGGCUUUUGCUGGGGACUUCCUACAAUCAUAGUUGCUGCAUCCCUGGGUAUUGCAGCACUAAAAGAUGGAAUAGAAACUUAUGUUACUGAUAAAAAAUCAACAUGGUGAUCCUUGUGCGAGUUAUC